rnacentral:lncRNA from 1 species
GCCCGCCAGACGCCUAUCAUUCAACUCUUCCCAAUCUGAUCACCCUGUAUAAAUAAAGGCAAAAUACAUAUAUAUAAAUCAGAAGCCGAGUGCUUUUAAAUGCACUAAAUGAAAGGCUGUGUUCAUGCCACCUCCCUCCGAAAUGAAUCACCAGAUUAAAUGCAAGAUGUAAGCACCAAAUCAAUAACUUGAGACAGAGAUGCCUUGCUUGUUCUUCAGGAAAAUUCCAUUUCCUUUCAGAUGUUGUUGUUUGAAAUGUCAGGAAGUUUCCAUACAUCUCCACCCUUGAAAAUGCCGCUGGUGCCGUCCGCCCUCCAGCUUUGCCUCCUUUCUUCAGAGAAACCCAGGCGCCUUGCCAGAGAAAGCCCACGUGUCACAGCCUCUGAGGGCCUCUACACAGGCAGUGUGUGGAAGGAAAGCCAUGGAGAGGUUGAGGUGAAAAACAAACAAACAAACAAAAACAACAAAACCCCCAAAUUAGAAGACCGAUGUUUUCUUCCAGUGCCUCAAAGAGACCACACUCUUGUGUGUACUACAGGUGGGUCACUGAAGGUAAUAGAAGAAAAUACAUGAGGGGGGUGAGAAGGGGACCUAAGUCUUGACCUUGAUGCUUCUCUGUGCUUCAUUGUUGUCUAAUAAAAUAGAGGAAAUACAAAUGCAGCACAUUAGGGUCUCUACACUGCCUCCCACGUGUCACAUAACCCUCGGCUGUAUAUGCAACUGCCCACACCUGUAUAAAUGGGGUCAUGGCAGCCAAGUAUUCAGCUGCUGUCACUGCUCAAAAUGCAAUCAAAAUGGAGUAUCUCAUUUCU